GACGAACGCUGGCGGCGUGCUUAACACAUGCAAGUCGAACGGUAAGGCCCUUCGGGGUACACGAGUGGCGAACGGGUGAGUAACACGUGGGUGAUCUGCCCUGCACUUCGGGAUAAGCCUGGGAAACUGGGUCUAAUACCGGAUAGGACCACUGCCUGCAUGGGUGGGGGGGGAAAGCUUUUGCGGUGUGGGAUGGGCCCGCGGCCUAUCAGCUUGUUGGUGGGGUGAUGGCCUACGAAGGCGACGACGGGUAGCCGGCCUGAGAGGGUGACCGGCCACACUGGGACUGAGAUACGGCCCAGACUCCUACGGGAGGCAGCAGUGGGGAAUAUUGCACAAUGGGCGCAAGCCUGAUGCAGCGACGCCGCGUGAGGGAUGACGGCCUUCGGGUUGUAAACCUCUUUCAGCACCGACGAAGCGCAAGUGACGGUAGGUGCAGAAGAAGGACCGGCCAACUACGUGCCAGCCGCCGCCGUAA
rnacentral:rRNA from 1 species